rnacentral:lncRNA from 1 species
AUGAACGUGAAGUGGACAGUGAAACGAUUUGUUCUUAUGUCGUUAUCAGUCUCCCACCUGCUGUUACUUGAGGGAGCUCAGAGUCGACUUUCAGUGGCAGAAGGAAGAUCACAGAGAAGAGCUAAUGCACUUCGGAGGAAACGGGAUCUCCUUGGGGAGGAGACAUAUAGACCGUUGUUGUCAGAGGGCACUCUGUCACGCAGCAUUUUGCACAACUACACAGCCAGAGAUUCCUCUUCAGAAUAUUGUGGCUGCCUUAAUGGUGGAUGGUGUCAGGAGGGCGGUGUGUGUGACUGUGUUCAGUUCCAGGCACUGGGAGAUCGCUGCCAAAUCAGUGAGUAUUGCUCUCACACUUGUAGUCUCCUACUUUCAUAUCUUCCCUUUGUGUCAGCUCAGAAUUCAUCACAUUUAUGCAAGCAGCAACCUCCGAGGCUGCCUGGCAUGUCUAAUAACAGUCACCUCUUUGAUAACAGAAUCAGACGCUCCAUUUUACAUGAACAAGCGCACGCAGGAGACUCUCCAGUCGGUCAACAAAUUCUAAUUGCCUGA